GACGAACGCUGGCGGCGUGCUUAACACAUGCAAGUCGAGCGGAAAGGCCACUUCGGUGGUACUCGAGCGGCGAACGGGUGAGUAACACGUGAGUAAUCUGCCCUUGGCUUCGGGAUAGCCACCGGAAACGGUGAUUAAUACCGGAUAUGACCACUUCACGCAUGUGAUGGUGGUGGAAAGUUUUUCGGCCAGGGAUGUGCUCGCGGCCUAUCAGCUUGAUGGUGAGGUAAUGGCUCACCAAGGCUUCGACGGGUAGCCGGCCUGAGAGGGUGACCGGUCACACUGGGACUGAGACACGGCCCAGACUACUACGGGAGGCAGCAGUGGGGAAUAUUGGACAAUGGGCGGAAGCCUGAUCCAGCAACGCCGCGUGGGGGAUGACGGCCUUCGGGUUGUAAACCUCUUUCGCCUGUGACGAAGCGCAGGUGACGGUAACAGGUAAAGAAGCACCGGCCAACUACGUGCCAGCCGCCGCCGUAACAC
rnacentral:rRNA from 1 species